rnacentral:tRNA from 1 species
UGGGGAGUGGCUCAGUGGUAGAGUAUUUGCCUAGUAUGCAUGAGACCUGGGUUCAAUCCUCAGUACCUCAA